CAGAGUAAAGAAACACGCGUAAAGUGCCUGCUGUACGGGGAGUUGACAGCAUGACGAAAGGCGGGGUCUCCCCUCCUGCGGUGUGUUUCUUGCAUCCCGCUGU
rnacentral:ncRNA from 1 species